rnacentral:tRNA from 1 species
UGGUGAAAUAGCUAGGUAAGCUUUUCCAUCUUUAAAAUGGAAGCGACGAAUAGUUGGGUCUCCGUCUUUAACAU